rnacentral:lncRNA from 1 species
ACUUUUAUUUAUUGGAUGGAGUGAAUUUCCCAUAAUGCCCCUACUUUCUCUUAUAGAGAGGUGCAAUUUUUUUACUACCUUGACAAUGAAGUGGCAUGAGAUAACCAUUUCCUAUUCCGCUUUUGCUUGACAUGGUAAACACUAUUGUCAAGCAUUAUCUUAGUUAAUUAAUCAGUUUCAUGGCCCUUCUUUUCGAACAAUUACUUUUAUUUAUUUUUAUUUAAAAAUUAUAUUAAAUUAAAAAUUUUUUUACCUAUUUUUAUUAAAUUUAUAUAUCUUUAUUGAAAUAGUAUACUUGAUAGCUAUCUAUUUCUAUAUCAUUUUUUUAAAUAUUUUAUAUUUAUUAAAAAAAAUUAUUAUUAAAAAAAAGAGGCCUCAUUCAUUGGAUUUGCCUUAGGCCCCCAAAUGUAUUGGGCCGCCCCUG